GACGAACGCUGGCGGCGUGCUUAACACAUGCAAGUCGAACGGAAAGGCCCUGCUUUUGUGGGGUGCUCGAGUGGCGAACGGGUGAGUAACACGUGAGUAACCUGCCCUUGACUUUGGGAUAACUUCAGGAAACUGGGGCUAAUACCGGAUAGGAGCUCCUGCUGCAUGUGGGGGGUUGGAAAGUUUCGGCGGUUGGGGAUGGACUCGCGGCUUAUCAGCUGGUUGGUGGGGUAGUGGCUUACAAAGGCUUUGACGGGUAGCCGGCCUGAGAGGGUGACCGGCGACAUGGGGACUGAGAUACGGCCCAGACGGCUAUGGGCCGCAGCAGUGGAGAGUCUGACACAGUGGGCGCAAGUGUGAUGUAAAGACGCCGGGUGCGGAAUGCCCGGUUUUGGGUUGUAAACCGAUUUGGACUGUGCCGAGGAGUGAGUGACGGUAAUGGGUAAGAAAGCCCCGGCUAACUACGUG
rnacentral:rRNA from 1 species